rnacentral:rRNA from 1 species
GAUGAACGCUGGCGGCGUGCCUAAUACAUGCAAGUCGAGCGAACAGACGAGGAGCUUGCUCCUCUGACGUUAGCGGCGGACGGGUGAGUAACACGUGGAUAACCUACCUAUAAGACUGGGAUCACUUCGGGAAACCGGAUCUAAUACCGGAUAAUAUAUUGAACCGCAUGGUUCAAUAGUGAAAGACGGUUUUGCUGUCACUUAUAGAUGGAUCCGCGCCGCAUUAGCUAGUUGGUAAGGUAACGGCUUACCAAGGCGACGAUGCGUAGCCGACCUGAGAGGGUGAUCGGCCACACUGGAACUGAGACACGGUCCAGACUCCUACGGGAGGCAGCAGUAGGGAAUCUUCCGCAAUGGGCGAAAGCCUGACGGAGCAACGCCGCGUGAGUGAUGAAGGUCUUCGGAUCGUAAAACUCUGUUAUUAGGGAAGAACAAAUGUGUAAGUAACUAUGCACGUCUUGACGGUACCUAAUCAGAAAGCCACGGCUAACUACGUG